GAUGAACGCUGGCGGCGUGCUUAACACAUGCAAGUCGAACGGUGAAAGCGGAGCUUGCUCUGCUGGAUCAGUGGCGAACGGGUGAGUAACACGUGAGCAAUCUGCCCCUGACUCUGGGAUAAGCGCUGGAAACGGCGGCUAAUACCGGAUACGAGCUGCGAAGGCAGCUUCAGCAGCUGGAAAGAACUUCGGUCAGGGAUGAGCUCGCGGCCUAUCAGCUAGUUGGUGAGGUAACGGCCCACCAGGGCGUCGACGGGUAGCCGGCCUGAGAGGGUGACCGGCCACACUGGGACUGAGACACGGCCCAGACUCCUACGGGAGGCAGCAGUGGGGAAUAUUGCACAAUGGGCGAAAGCCUGAUGCAGCAACGCCGCGUGAGGGACGACGGCCUUCGGGUUGUAAACCUCUUCUAGCAGGGAAGAAGCGAAAGUGACGGUACCUGCAGAAAAAGCGCCGGCUAACUACGUGCCAGCAGCCGCCGUAA
rnacentral:rRNA from 1 species